rnacentral:rRNA from 1 species
GACGAACGCUGGCGGCGUGCUUAACACAUGCAAGUCGAACGGUAAGGCCCUUCUGGGUACACGUGUGGGGAAGGCGUGCGUGACAGGUACGUGAUGGUCCCCUGACCUUGGCUUAACGGUCGCUAACGGUUGCUAAUACCGGUUAUACACAUGUGCCUGCGUUGCAUUGUGUGGGAUGGUUUUGCGGUGUUGGUUGAACUCGCGGCCCAUCAGCUUGUUGGUGGGGUGAUGGACUACCAAGGCUUCGACGGGUAGCCGGCCUGAGAGGGGGACCGGCCACACUGGGACUGAGAUACGGCCCAGACUCCUACGGGAGGCAGCAGUGGGGAAUAUUGCACAAUGGGCGGAAGCCUGAUGCAGCAACGCCGCGUGCGGGAUGACGGCCUUCGGGUUGUAAACCGCUUUCGGUUGUGACGAAGCGCAAGUGACGGUACCUGCAAAAGAAGCACCGGCUAACUACGUG